rnacentral:tmRNA from 1 species
AAAUGCGGCUGCCCCUGAACUGAUUCUCUCUUGGGUCAGGUAGCGCAAGCUACAUCAGGGUCAUUUACAAGAGAUAAGAUCAACUCGUGUCACGAGGGUUGAUACGAAAAUUUAGUGACUCGCUAAUGCAAAGCGUGUCGAUUCGCGUUGCCUUGGUUAAAUUAAAUAAUUAGACUAAGUAUGUAGAACUUGUUGUAGCGUGUUUGCGGACGCGGGUUCGAUUCCCGCCGACUCCACCA